rnacentral:rRNA from 1 species
AUUGAACGCUGGCGGCAGGCCUAACACAUGCAAGUCGAGCGGGGUUUUCGGACCUAGCGGCGGACGGGUGAGUAAUGCGUAGGAAGCUACCCGAUAGAGGGGGAUACCAGUUGGAAACGACUGUUAAUACCGCAUAAUGUCUACGGACCAAAGUGUGGGACCUUCGGGCCACAUGCUAUCGGAUGCGCCUACGUGGGAUUAGGUAGUUGGUGGGGUAAUGGCUCACCAAGGCGACGAUCCCUAGCUGGUUUGAGAGGAUGAGCAGCCACACUGGAACUGAGACACGGUCCAGACUCCUACGGGAGGCAGCAGUGGGGAAUAUUGGACAAUGGGCGCAAGCCUGAUCCAGCCAUGCCGCGUGUGUGAAGAAGGCCUUCGGGUUGUAAAGCACUUUCAGUAGGGAGGAAGGGUGUUGUGUUAAUAGCACAGCAUUUUGACGUUACCUACAGAAGAAGCACCGGCUAACUCUGUGCCAGCCGCCGCCGUAAAAC